rnacentral:rRNA from 1 species
UACGUAGGGUGCAAGCGUUGUCCGGAAUUAUUGGGCGUAAAGAGCUCGUAGGCGGUUUGUCGCGUCUGCUGUGAAAACUCGGGGCUUAACCCCGGGCCUGCAGUGGGUACGGGCAGACUAGAGUGCGGUAGGGGAGACUGGAAUUCCUGGUGUAGCGGUGAAAUGCGCAGAUAUCAGGAGGAACACCGAUGGCGAAGGCAGGUCUCUGGGCCGUAACUGACGCUGAGGAGCGAAAGCAUGGGGAGCGAACAGG